rnacentral:rRNA from 1 species
UGAACGCUGGCGGCGUGCCUAAUACAUGCAAGUCGAGCGAACGGACGAGGAGCUUGCUCCUCUGACGUUAGCGGCGGACGGGUGAGUAACACGUGGAUAACCUACCUAUAAGACUGGGAUAACUUCGGGAAACCGGAGCUAAUACCGGAUAAUAUAUUGAACCGCAUGGUUCAAUAGUGAAAGACGGUUUUGCUGUCACUUAUAGAUGGAUCCGCGCCGCAUUAGCUAGUUGGUAAGGUAACGGCUUACCAAGGCGACGAUGCGUAGCCGACCUGAGAGGGUGAUCGGCCACACUGGAACUGAGACACGGUCCAGACUCCUACGGGAGGCAGCAGUAGGGAAUCUUCCGCAAUGGGCGAAAGCCUGACGGAGCAACGCCGCGUGAGUGAUGAAGGUCUUCGGAUCGUAAAACUCUGUUAUUAGGGAAGAACAAAUGUGUAAGUAACUAUGCACGUCUUGACGGUACCUAAUCAGAAAGCCACGGCUAACUACGUG